CAAUAGCGUAUAUUAAAGUUGUUGCAGUUAAAAGCUCGUAGUUGGAUUUCGGAGCGGGCCUGUUGGUCGGCCGCAAGGUCUGUUACUGACUGGUCUGUUCUUCUUCGCAAAGACUGCGUGUGCUCUUCACUGAGUGUGCGUAGGAUUUACGACGUUUACUUUGAAAAAUUAGAGUGUUCAAAGCAGGCUAUGGCUUGAAUACAUGAGCAUGGAAUAAUGGAAUAGGACUUUGGCCCUAUUUUGUUGGUUUCUAGGACCGAAGUAAUGAUUAAGAGGGACAAUUGGGGGCAUCCGUAUUUCGUUGUCAGAGGUGAAAUUCUUGGAUUUACGAAAGACGAACAACUGCGAAAGCACUUGCCAAGAGUGUUUUCAUUAAUCAAGAACGAAAGUUAGAGGAUCGAAGAUGAUUAGAUACCGU
rnacentral:rRNA from 1 species